rnacentral:rRNA from 1 species
UACGAAGGGGGCUAGCGUUGCUCGGAAUCACUGGGCGUAAAGCGCACGUAGGCGGAUCGCUAAGUCAGGGGUGAAAUCCUGGAGCUCAACUCCAGAACUGCCUUUGAUACUGGCAAUCUCGAGUCCGGGAGAGGUGAGUGGAACUGCGAGUGUAGAGGUGAAAUUCGUAGAUAUUCGCAAGAACACCAGUGGCGAAGGCGGCUCACUGGCCCGAUACUGACGCUGAGGCACGAAAGCGUGGGGAGCAACAGG